rfam:Bifidobacterium gallinarum strain LMG 11586 Contig02, whole genome shotgun sequence.
GGGGCCGAUCGGUUUCGACGAUGACCUGUUCGCUGCAGGGAAGCGUGCCGAGAAUGCGGGGUCCACUCGUGGAUGUCCCCCGCAAAACAAUAAGUGCUAAAUCUAACCGCACUGAGUUCGCUCUCGCUGCCUGAGCUUCGCGCCAGGACUAAUCCAGCGAGCAGCCGCUCCGUCCGUUCUUCUGCGUCUCCGGGAAGAAAUCGGGCGUCGUUAAGGAGACUCGCCUCACUCGCCGAGCCGCAGGGCGUCUGAGGGACUUACACUGUGGAUAGGCCUGCCACCGGUUGUCCGCGAUAUAGGUGGAGGCAGAACAAUAGCUGAAAAGCCAGCGGACUACGCACGUAGAAGACUGUGGGUACGGUCAUCGGACCGGGGUUCGAUUCCCCGCGGCUCCACUU